CUUCGUGCUGUGUAUUUUCCCUAGUGUUCCUGAAAAAACAGGACAAACAACAUACAACGAGAAGAGUGUGGAUGGGUUCCAUACCCCUGGAGAUUAAAAACUCAAAAAUUGCUUGUCACACAGGAUGAAAAUUUACACACGUGGAUUAACAGUUCCUACUUCAGCAGUGCUUUCAGUAUUGAACACAAUACAAAUACGAAAUGCAUAGCCAGUUCCGUGUACUAUCAUGCUGCCAGCCCCUUUAUUUUUGGCCUGGGGAACCACUUCUUCUCACCUGUCAGCCUGGUGUUUUGGGAGAAGAGUAUAAUGCAGGUGGAUACACAUGGCAUCAUCCCCAAAGACCACAGGAAGUGAGAAGGACAUGCUUUCUGGGCAGGCGGAAAAUACCCAUGGGUGGGAACGGACGGGACAGCAGGCUCACUACCAUCCGUAAGAGGGAGCAUGCCAAUAUCUUUCUUGGCUGAGGGCCAUUACAUUUCCUCUGAUGGAAGUGUGCUGAGAGGUCUGUCAGUAGCACCAGGUUUUUGGCAGCAUCACUGAUUAGCGAGCCAAGGGAAAUAUGGUCUUAAGAUUAUAUUGUCUCCUUGUGUUCUUCAAGAAGAUAGGUGCAAACAAAAAGCACAGCCUCACAUGGGAAUAACCCACCACUUUUGGCAAUUACACAUCAUCAGAAGCAGAAAAGGAUCAGUGCCAAGAGGCUGGAAAAAAGACCCGUGGACCUGUGUAUUUAAGUUUGGAAAGACCUUGAUGAAGGGGAGAGCACUUCCCAUUCAUAAAUUAAAACUUUGUUUAUAAAACUUUAAA